rnacentral:rRNA from 1 species
UACGUAGGUGGCAAGCGUUGUCCGGAAUUAUUGGGCGUAAAGCGCGCGCAGGCGGUCUUCUAAGUCUGAUGUGAAAGUCCACGGCUCAACUGGGGAGGGUCACGCGAUACUGGUCGACUCGAAGGCAGGAGAGGGUAGUGGAAUUCCCGGUGUAGUGGUGAAAUGCGUAGAUAUCGGGAGGAACACCAGUGGCGAAGGCGACUACCUGGCCUGUUCUUGACGCUGAGGCGCGAAAGCUAGGGUAGCAAACGGG